rnacentral:tRNA from 1 species
GGGCGGAUAGCUCAGCCGGUCAGAGCGCUUCUCUUACACAGAAGAGGUCGCAGGUUCGAUCCCUGUUCCGCCCA